UACAUUUAGUCAUGCAAAGGACAUUAAUAUAUCUUUGAGAUACCUGAAUCUCUGCAUGUUGUUCCUGGUGGUAAAGUAAAACAAAUUGUAUCCUGUGGUUUCUGCAGGGAAAGGUGACCGAAAGAUGACAUUUUUUUCCCAAGCUGAUUUU